AGUCAGUGGAAUUAUAAUAGCAUUGCAGAGUGACAGAUGGUAGCCACACUUGUGGUGGGCACGGAAUAAGAUCCUGUAUACACAGUUGGACUCUGCAGAUACCAGGUGGACAAAGUUGAUUCCUUUGUAGCUUCUUGAGCAAAACAGCCACAUCAUGGCAAAUUGAGAUGACCAGAUUGUCCCCAGUGCAUGUAUAUCUAAAAGCAACUAAACAGAGAGUGAAACAGAGAUGAAGAGGUCCUACAGAUCUUUGCUAUGCUACGUGGGAUCAGCAGAACUGGCAUGACCUGGGAGCCUAUAAGCAGUGUGGAAUCUCAGACUGCACUUCAGAUUUACAGGAUUAGAAUCUGCAUUUUAACAAUACUGCAGGGGACUGAUAUGCACUUUGGGGUUCAAAAAGUGGCUGCUAUAGAGAACCUUUGAAAGGAAGACCCGAGGAAGAGGCGAUUGGAAUAAAGGGACUCCCAUGGAAUACCUUUGUGAAUCUGACUCACAAGACCCCUUCUUCUGUGUACAGCUUUAUUUUUUCCUCAGGCACUGGCACAACUGCUUCCUACACCCUUAUUAACCCUUAACACCAAGGAUUGAAAGUAAUGUCUUGAAAUGUAUUCUCCCCAGAACUGAGAUCUAUGCUUUGAGUUUAUUCUUCCUGCAGUUUCUCUACUUAGGUUUUUUUAAAUAUUUCACAGCAUCUCUACUACAAUUAGACCUGAAAACAAAGAAAUAAACCCUAUUGGUGAUUUCUGCCAAUAUCUGGCAAUACCGUGGAAGAGAUGUUUUGAUUAGGCAAUUUUCAUUACUAAAAACACUAUAGCACAAUAAAUUAAUUCAAUGUUGUGCACUUAUCUAUUAGAAACAUUACUAUAGGAGUAUAAAAAUGUUAAUUAUUCAUUAUCAUUGCUCUGAUUAUUUGUUGUGGCUGAUAAUUACAUUGAAUAUAUUUUAUAUCAGUAAUAACCUUCUGUCUACAUUUACAACAUGUCGUAUCUUGGGGGCUUGUCAAGUUUUUUCCCCAAGCCUUUCCUUUAUUAAGACACAGACCUCAGGAGUACAUAACCUUUAUGUUGAAGGCUGAUUUUCUUCUUUCAUAUAAAGAGCAAAUAUUAUAGAUUAAUUAAUCCAGGAUGAUUAUAAUUUAAUCACUCUUCCUCUGGCUUCACAAGGGAUUCGGCUUU